rnacentral:rRNA from 1 species
UACGUAGGGGGCAAGCGUUGUCCGGAAUCAUUGGGCGUAAAGCGCGUGUAGGCGGCUUCGUAAGUCCGUUGUGAAAGUCCAGGGCUCAACCCUGGAAUGCCGGAUGGAUACUGCGGAGCUAGAGUCCGGAAGAGGCGAGUGGAAUUCCUGGUGGUAGCGGGUGAAAUGGCGCAGAUAUCAGGAGGAACACCAAUGGCGAAGGCAGCGCCGCUGGGACGGUACUGGACGCUGGAGACGCGAAAGCGUGGGAGCAAACAGG